CAGGGGGUUUCCCCCUAGGUAACGGCGAGUGAAGCGGGAAGAGCUCAAAUUUGAAAUCUGGUAGCCUUCGGUUGCCCGAGUUGUAAUCUAGAGAAGUGUUUUCCGCGUUGGCCCAUGUACAAGUCCCUUGGAACAGGGCGUCAUAGAGGGUGAGAAUCCCGUCCUUGACAUGGACCCCCAAUGCUUUGUGAUACACUUUCAACGAGUCGAGUUGUUUGGGAAUGCAGCUCAAAAUGGGUGGUGAAUUCCAUCUAAAGCUAAAUAUUGGCGAGAGACCGAUAGCGAACAAGUACCGUGAGGGAAAGAUGAAAAGCACUUUGGAAAGAGAGUUAAACAGUACGUGAAAUUGUUGAAAGGGAAACGAUUGAAGUCAGUCAUGCUCUUUGGAUUAAGCCGUUCUGCGGUGUAUUUCAUUGAGCGGGGUCAACAUCAGUUUUGAUCGCUGGAAAAGGGCAGGAGGAAGGUAGCACUCUCGGGUGAACUUAUAGCCUCUUGUCGUAUACAGUGAUUGGGACUGAGGAACGCAGCAUGCCUUUUGGCCGGGAUUCGUCCACGUACAUGCUUAGGAUGUUGACAUAAUGGCUUUAAACGACCCGUCUGAA
rnacentral:rRNA from 1 species